rnacentral:tRNA from 1 species
UCCCUGGAGAUCCAGUGGUUAGGACUCUGCUAUUUCACUGCUGAAGGCCCAGGUUUGAUCCCUGGCUGGGGAA